AUGCGAGCGUUAUCCGGAUUUAUUGGGUUUAAAGGGUGCGCAGGCGGCGCGCCAAGUCAGCGGUCAAAGUUCCGGGCUCAACCCGGUGUCGCCGUUGAAACUGGCGUGCUCGAGUGCGUGCGAGGAAGGCGGAAUGCGUUGUGUAGCGGUGAAAUGCAUAGAUAUGACGCAGAACUCCGAUUGCGAAGGCAGCUUUCCAGCGCGCUACUGACGCUGAGGCACGAAAGCGUGGGGAUC
rnacentral:rRNA from 1 species